UUUUCUGGGUUGCCCGUCGAGUGCUGCGGACUGGAUCUUUCCUCUGUGCAGUAAGAAUACCGGGAUUCUUUAAUAAACAACUAAGUCUCCCGGCGACCGCGCUGAGUGUGAUCUAGUGUUCUCUCGAGAAAGAACCGCUCUUCGAUUUGAGAAUUACCAUUUCUGUUUGACCUGUACGCGUACAUAGUCUCACUGUCAUAUUAUGCAUUGACUGAAUGUUUUUAAAAUCUCUAUACAAAACUGCCUG